GUGCUCACCUUGGCAGCGUAGAAACUAAAAUUAGAGCAAUACAGAGAAGAUUAGCAUGACCCUUGUGCAAAUAAUGGAUGACACGCAGAUUAUAAAGCCUUCCAUAUUUAC